rnacentral:sRNA from 1 species
CAUUAUCGAAUGAUUAGGGAAGGAAUGAUGACAAAGUCGAGACUGUUGCUGGCUUUCUCUAUCGUUGGCGGAAGCAUGUGCACGUCUUGCUUGUUUGUCUGCCUUUCUCUUUCUCUUUCUCUCUCACACCUGUGCACCUAUUGUAGGGGUCUCUCGAAAGAGGGAAACCUAUGUUUAUUUCCAUCACACCUAUUGUAUGUUCAUAGAAUGUCACCAUGGUUGAUUCUUGGUUGGAUCGAUCAUAAAAAGUUUAUACAACUUUCAGCAACGGAUCUCUUGGCUCUCGCAUCGAUGAAGAACGCAGCGAAUUGCGAUAAGUAAUGUGAAUUGCAGAUUUUCAGUGAAUCAUCGAAUCUUUGAACGCACCUUGCGCUCCUUGGUAUUCCGAGGAGCAUGCCUGUUUGAGUGUUAUUGAAUUUCUCAACCAUGUCUUGAUUGAUUUCAAGGGUAUGGCUUGGAGUUUGGGGGGUUUGCUGGUAGCCGUUUGGUAGUCAGCUCUCCUGAAAUGCAUUAGCAAAGGGGCGAGGCUAGUCCCACUGGCAUGCACGGCCUUUCGACGUGAUAAUUGAUCGUCGUGGCUGGAGUGUCGAUUGGAUAUUGGAUAGGACUAUGCCACGAAUUGACCUCUGCUUCGAAUUCAGCCAAGGCUUUAAGUUAGCUACUAGUUUCGACGAACGCAGCUUUGCCAUCCUGGCAUCUUUUGAAAUAUGACCUCAAAUCAGGUAGGACUACCCGCUGAACUUAAGCAUAU